rnacentral:tRNA from 1 species
GAAACUAUAAAAAAUUUUAUUUUAACAGACUCAUAAUCUGGAGGUCCCAGGUUCAAGCCCUGGCUGGUCCA